UGGUUUCAGAUGGCACUCAGUGUGGCAGACCCUUCGCAUGAACAUGCAGACGCAGUGGAAGAAGGUAGGGAGAGGGAGGAGCAAGCAGUUUCGGCCCUUACAGUCUUUCCACUGAGGGACACUGCUGUGUAGGCUUGUUCCAUGCAGUUGGAGAUUAUCCACUGUGCAUGCACAAAACAGAAGUGGGAAAUGAGAAAACAAAUAGCCUAAAGAAAACUGUAAACCAACAAAAGGAUCUCCUUGUGCACAGCCAGUGUGAUCGUCAGGUGCAGAUCAUUCAGCCCUUGCCAAGAGAGUCUGUCCAGAUCCCUUUCUCAGAGACAGCGUGAGGGUUCCUCAGGGUCUUCCACUCAUGGACGGAGCCGUAGCUGAAGGAGUCUGUUCAAGUCAAUUUUACAGAAACGGAGGCGGAGUUCCUCAAGGAGCAGUAAGAGUAUGCAACCCAUUUUCUCCAUCAGUGACACCCCAAGAACGAUUAUCGACCGCAGCCUUAGGCAGCCUCCUGAGAAGUCUAUGAGAGCUGAAAGAGGUCCCCCAAAUACAGCCAAAGCGAUGUCGACGCAUGCACACUCAAACAAAUUGAGGAAGGAUGUCUGAAAAAAAAUUCUUCAGCUCCUUGGCGAAAUCAAGGAUACAAUUCACGCUGCUGGAACAAGUUAUGAAGUGAAGCCGGCAAACACUGAAGAAGAGCUCGAAGCUUUAAAGCAGUGGUUCUCAACCUGUUUUGGGCCAUCGCCCCCCU